ACCGAUUCCUGGCCUUCUAGGAAUUGGUACUCAAUACAGAAAAAAAAAAUAUUAUUUUUUGCUUCCUGUGGAAUAGAAGCUUGUGAGAGGGUGACUGUGAGUGAGUGAGUCUAUUUAUUAUUUGUGUGUGUGUGUUGAAAAGAGUGCCCGUUCCGAUCUGUUUGUCCAGACGUGACUUAUCAAUAUUUCUUGGUCCAAGGCAAGUCUCAAACAUAGUCCGGCCUCUUUUAUGAGAAUUUUGGGGAUUUUGGAGUGUGGCGCAUCAAUAAAAUAAAUAAAAAAGAAAGAAACGCCAAGAUGUGAACUUUUAAAAUAAGCAAAAAAUAAAUAAAUAAAUAAAAAAAUGACAACAAUCACGUCAAUGCCGGGGAAAAAAAAAAGUUUAAUUAGUGUGACUCUGUGUUUGUUUUAUUUUGUUAGUUGUGUAUCUAAAUCAGUGUCUCUUUCAUUUCCACAUAGAGAGGUUGCUGGAGAUUAGACUCAUCAGAUUCAUCUGUGCAGCUUCAUGAUGACUGAAUGAUUCAUGGAAGACACACAAAGAUCCGGAGAUGGAGAUUCUUCUCCAGGAAUUAGAAGCCCAAUCCAGCAGGAGAGAUCAGACCCUACAGAAGCCAGCUGUGUGUCUGUGAGGAGCGACAAGUCAUUUGAGCUUCUACCUGACUUUAAAAAUGAAAGCAUUCCUCCUGGUUUUAGACCAAUUAAGCGGAAAAGAUCCGACUCACUGGAACCCAGCUGUGUGUCUACGGAGAGUAAUCCAUCAAUGGCAGAUUCACUGCACAUUGGAGAUAACAGGAUAUCAUUUGAUUCUAGUGACCCUCAAAAUGCUGGUGCCCAUAACACACUCAAAUCAAAUCUGAUGAAGAAGUUUCAGUAUCUGUAUGAGGGAACAGCAAAGCAGGGAAACCCAACACUCCUGAAUGAGAUCUACACAGAGCUCUACAUCACAGAGAGUGAGAGUGGAGAGAUCAGUAAUGCGCAUGAGUUGAGACAGAUUGAGACAC
rnacentral:lncRNA from 1 species